rnacentral:miRNA from 1 species
ACCCUAGAUUUAUAGCUAGAAAUGAGGACAGAAUUGCGAUUAUAUAUGACUAUAAAUAUAUAAUCGCAAUUCUGUCCUCAUUUCUAGCUAUAAAUCUAGGGU